UACAGAGGUCCCAAGCGUUGUUCGGAUUCACUGGGCGUAAAGGGUGCGUAGGUGGUGAGGUAAGUCGGAUGUGAAAUCUCCGAGCUCAACUCGGAAAUGGCAUUGGAAACUACCUUGCUCGAGGGUUGGAGGGGGGACUGGAAUGCUUGGUGUAGCGGUGAAAUGCGCAGAUAUCAGGAGGAACACCGAUGGCGAAGGCAGGUCUCUGGGCAUUAACUGACGCUGAGGAGCGAAAGCAUGGGGAGCGAACAGG
rnacentral:rRNA from 1 species